rnacentral:lncRNA from 1 species
UGUUGCAUUAGGUGGUAACAAUUCAAAGUGAAUUACUCCUUUGCAAUUCCACCAGAUAAAAGAAACUUUUUCCCAUGAAGUUCCCUUCUUGGUUGUGGUUGAGCUUUUUCCUUUUUACCAAGCCACUGUUUAUGAUGUUUAACAUUUUGAUAGAAGAUCCAUUUUUCCUCACCAGUCACAAGUCUAUCCAGAAUGGAUGAAAUGAGUUCACAGGAAUGGAGUGAAGAGCAGAUGUCAACUCAGGAUUUGCGGUUGCUUUCGGACAAUUCAUGAGGCACCCAUUUUCCAAGGUUAGGAAACUUUGCAAGUUGUUGAAGAUGACAAUGAACAGUUGUAUGGUUUGAACUAAGCUUUAUUACCAAUUCUUCAACUGAUAAUGCAGAUUUUUCUUCAAGUAAUGCCUCAAGGAGCUUAUCAUCAAACUCAACUGGACAUCCUGUUCAAUCUUCAUCGUCAAGGCUGAAAUCUCCACUUUUGAAUUUUGCAAACCAUCUUCUGCAAGUUCUUUCAUUCAAGCAUUCUUUCCCAUAAACUGAGAGUAUGUUUUGAGUCACUUCAACUGCAGAGUUUCCUUUUUUGUUCUCAUAAAGCAUUAUGUGCCUCAAAUGCUCUUUGGAUACUUCCAUGUUAGAAAGGGUUUUAAUCAAAGAAAUUUUAAUUCUAUCAUUCUGUAAAAUAAUAUUUAAUUAGUUUAAAUGUACGCAAAUGCAUAAGUAUAAUUUUUAAUUCAAUUAGACAUUCUAAAAUACUAUUAAAUUUCAUUCAAUUUUAAAAAAGGUAAAAUUGGGCAGAACUUAUGGGAUGACCUGAUAAAUGGAAAAAUGUGUCACUCAAGACGGACUUCAGUUUGAACAAUUUUCAUGAUGUUUCAUGUUUAGAUGAUUUUAUUAAAUUCAUUCAGUUGUUAAACAUAAAUAAAUCUUGGAAUUUCAUUUACUGUCAGACAGCUUUUAGCCAACCUUGCAUAUAUAUAUAUAUAGGGAUCAAAACAGUUUGACAAAAGCUCCUUGGUACUCAGAGUUUCCGGCUUGAUGCUAAAUUUCAGCCAUGGGAGUUUAAAAGCUUAGCAUCACACUUGAAACUCAAAGAGUUGGAAUCAAACUAUUUUAAUCCAUACUGGCAAGCAAAAUUCUUACCACAUAGCAUGCCUAUAUAUAUAUGUGUGUGUGUGUGUUUUAAUCAUAGUAAUUAUAAUUAAAUUUAUGCAUUGUCAUUCUCAUCAGUGUGAAGAAUCUUUUGAAGAACAUCAAGAAAGUAUAAUAAGAUGAAAUAGAAUAAAAUAAAACAAAAAUAAAAACAAAAUAAGAUACAAUAAGAGAACACAUAUGGGGCAGUAAGGGAAAAUCGGAUAAUUUACAAACCAAGUUGUGAAAGGGAAAAAUAAUGAUAACAAUAAUAAUAGUGAGAAAGACGAAAAAAAUACUAUGAUUAGAACUUUUUUCUUACACAUUUGCAUUGUUUUUCGAAACGUACAUAUGCAUUAAAUCUAGUUUUGUAAUAAAUCUAUUUCUGAUUCAACAUUUUUCUCCAUGCACGCACGCACACAUCUAAUAUACACACAUACCGUUUUUUUGUUGUAGAUGUCUGUUGUGAUGAUGGAGUUGUGUAUCUUGAAGUUGAUGUCUAGGAAGGGAAGUUCAUUGUAGUUGGUAUCUAUUGUGAAGUUGAUAGAUGGGUGCAGUGUGUUGGGGAUGUUAUGGAAUGUUCAUAGAUCUUCUGAUCUGUUCCAAAAGUUGAAACAGUCAUCGCGGUAGCGUUUCCACUUUUUCUUAAUGUCUACUCUAAAGUCGUGUUCGAAGACUUUCCCUAUUUCAUCAUAUAGUUUAUUCUCAAGGAAAAACCGACACACACCAAUACUUAAAUUUUUACUCCUGCCACCCAUCCCACAUAAAAAAGAAACAUCCCAUAUAGUAUGGCAAGACGCAUAGUGACUGACUCACAAACACACCAAAUAAAACUAAAUGAACUAAAAAACUUCCUACUAGAACAGAAAUCCCCUCUCAAAUUAAUAAAAAACGGAAUCUCAAGAGCAAUGAAACUGGACAUCACACAACUCAGAACUCAAAAAAAGAAAAACAAAGAAAACAUCAUCCCUUUCAUAAACACACAACCCUGGAGUUAGCAACAUGUUUCAAAUUAUACAUUCAAACUUACCAAUAGUCCUACAAAGCCCCAAAAUGGGAAACAUAUUAAACAAAUAUUGCAUAAAUAACAGUAAACACCAAGAGAAAAACCUGAAGAAAUAACUAACAAGGGCAAAAUUCUCAUCAGAGAAUAAAACCGAAUUCUUUGUAUAAGAGUGGGGAGAUGGUAGAUGUGGGAUCUGCAGUAACCCCAUCGACAAAUAUAUAGAGGGAAACAAACAAACAAAAUUUAAGAGUGGUCACACAUUCAAAGUAAAUGCAGACACGAAUGCAAGACACAGAACAUAUAUAUUGCAUAACCUGUCCCACAUGCAAGGGGGAUUAUAUAGGCGAAACUGGAUAUUCUUUAUGCCAAUGAGCCAGAAUUCACCGACAUGUCCGACAGGAGGAACUGCAAAAGAUUCCACUGAGUAAACACUUAGAAAUAUGUGGAGAAGGAAAAUUUAAGAGCUUUCCCUUCUAUAAAUGCCCAGGAAAAAUAUGGAACAAUACUUCAUAACAAAGUUCUCCCCCAAACUGAAUGGCUGAAAAUAUGAAAAGCACAGCAACUUGCCUAUAGACCUAUCUAGAACUAUUAGCUUUGUCUGUAUAAUAAUGUCCUCACAAUGUACAAGAAAUUGUAUGCAUAUGUUUCAUCAAACUCCACAAGACACUUUCCCUUGUACAUUAUUACCCAUCCUAAUAUCUUCAUUUUUGUAAAGAAUUGUUCCUUAUCUUCAUUCCUCUUGAAAUAUAUAUAUAUAUAUAUAUAUAUAUAUAUAUAUAUUUGUGUGUGUAUAUAUAUAUAUAUAUUUGUGUGUGUAUAUAUAUAUAUAUAUAUAUAGCUGUGACUGGUGAAAUAUCACUACUUCUGUAAUGAUUUGUACUAGAUGAAGGACCAAUUUUGUAAAAUAAACUGUAAUUUUGUAUUAAACACACACACAGUACUGUACAUAUACAUAAAUAGAAACAAUCUUACAUCCAGAUUUUCCAACCCAUACCAGCACGAAGAACCAAACAUUGGACAAGGAUGAUGAUGAUGAUAAUAAAUCCAUACAAUAUUUUGAAAAAUAACUUUUAUUAACCAACUUGUCAUCUUCUAUUGAAAUAACUGAACAGCUGUAUAGAUGUAAACACAAUUUUUUCUUCUAUCAGUAGACCCCACCCCUUAGAGUAGCCACCUGGUUUUGCCAUUUUUAAAGGCCAAGAAUCAACUCAUCACUUUCUAUUGAAAGAACUGACCAGCUGUAAAGAUGUAAACACAUUUUUUUCUUCAUUCUCUCUUCCCUUCACUUUUCCAUUGACACUCCUUUCAGAUACACAGACACACACACUCUCUCUCACUUUCUCCCCAUUCCUCACCCUCUUUUACUAUCUUAUAUCUCUCCCUACCCCCAC